GAUGAACGCUGGCGGCGUGCUUAAUACAUGCAAGUCGAACGGAGACAGUAGCAAUAUUGUCUUAGUGGCGAACGGGUGAGUAACGCGUUGGUGACCUGCCCCGAAGAGGGGGAUAACAGUCCGAAAGGAUUGCUAAUACCCCAUGUGGUCAUUUGGAUUAGAUGCCUUAUGACUAAACGGAUUUAUUCGCUUCGGGAGGGGCCUGCGUCCCAUCAGCUAGUUGGUAAGGUAAUGGCUUACCAAGGCGAUGACGGGUAGGGGACCUGAGAGGGUGGCCCCCCACACUGGCACUGCGACACGGGCCAGACUCCUACGGGAGGCUG
rnacentral:rRNA from 1 species